AGAGUUUGAUCAUGGCUCAGAAUGAACGCUGGCGGCACGCUUAACACAUGCAAGUCGAACGAGAUCUUCGGAUCUAGUGGCAGACGGGUGAGUAACGCGUGGGAACCUGCCCAGUAGUAGAGAAUAACUUGAGGAAACUUAAGCUAAUACUUUAUACACCCUUCGGGGAAAAGCUUUAUGCGCUAUUGGAUGGGCCCGCGUUAGAUUAGUUUGUUGGUGAGGUAAUGGCUCACCAAGACUACGAUCUAUAGCUGGUCUGAGAGGAUGAUCAGCCACACUGGGACUGAGACACGGCCCAGACUCCUACGGGAGGCAGCAGUGGGGAAUAUUGGACAAUGGGGGCAACCCUGAUCCAGCGAUGCCGCGUGAGUGAUGAAGGCCCUAGGGUUGUAAAACUCUUUCGCCAGGGAAGAUAAUGACGGUACCUGGUAAAGAAGAUCCGGCUAACUCCGUGCCAGCAGCCGCGGUAAUACGGAGGGAUCUAGCGUUAUUCGGAAUUACUGGGCGUAAAGCGAGCGUAGGCGGAUUUGUAAGUUGGAGGUGAAAUCCCAGAGCUUAACUCUGGAACUGCCUUCAAAACUACAUUUCUUGAGUUUGGUAGAGGAGAGUGGAAUUCCUAGUGUAGAGGUGAAAUUCGUAGAUAUUAGGAGGAACACCAGUGGCGAAGGCGACUCUCUGGGCCAAUACUGACGCUGAGGUUCGAAAGCAUGGGUAGCGAACAGGAUUAGAUACCCUGGUAGUCCAUGCAGUAAACGAUGAGUGCUAGAUGUUGGGAAUUUAAAUUUCCAGUAUCGCAGUUAACGCGUUAAGCACUCCGCCUGGGAAGUACGGCCGCAAGGCUAAAACUCAAAUGAAUUGACGGGGACCCGCACAAGCGGU
rnacentral:rRNA from 1 species